GAUGAACGCUGGCGGCGUGCCUAAUACAUGCAAGUCGAGCGAACAGACGAGGAGCUUGCUCCUCUGACGUUAGCGGCGGACGGGUGAGUAACACGUGGAUAACCUACCUAUAAGACUGGGAUAACUUCGGGAAACCGGAUCUAAUACCGGAUAAUAUAUUGAACCGCAUGGUUCAAUAGUGAAAGACGGUUUUGCUGUCACUUAUAGAUGGAUCCGCGCCGCAUUAGCUAGUUGGUAAGGUAACGGCUUACCAAGGCAACGAUGCGUAGCCGACCUGAGAGGCUGAUCGGCGACACUGGAACUGAGACACGGUCCAGACUCCUACGGGAGGCAGCAGUAGGGAAUCUUCCGCAAUGGGCGAAAGCCUGACGGAGCAACGCCGCGUGAGUGAUGAAGGUCUUCGGAUCGUAAAACUCUGUUAUUAGGGAAGAACAAAUGUGUAAGUAACUAUGCACGUCUUGACGGUACCUAAUCAGAAAGCCACGGCUAACUACGUG
rnacentral:rRNA from 1 species